rnacentral:lncRNA from 10 species
AGUACUUAUUCAUAGGUAAUUAGUCUUUUGGUAAGCAAAUUACUACUUGUUUAACGUUCCAGUUAAGAAGCCAAAUAAGAUAUCAUUUACAUCAAAAAUGAAAAAAUAAGGGGGCAUCUACUUUCUAUAAUAACGACCUGGGAAACUCAGACCAUCCUUCCUUCUGAGGACGCUGAAAAAAACUGAAUCCAAGAACUAACAACAUAUUAAGGAACUGCCAGGUGGUGACCCAGCAUGCUAAGAACACAGCAAGGUAGUGGCUAUAUGCAUACUGGCUUUGUAAUCGUUGCUUAAGCCGUAUUUGUGCUGUGCAUUUUUUAUUAACUCCUAUGCAUCGCCAGGACCCUGAAGGUGUCAUACUCUUCCUGACAGGACCUACCAGCUUGACGGAGAGCUCUAUCCCCAUUUCCUAAAGAAGAAACCUGAUCCUUGGAAAUGUUCAGUGGCUGCCCCAAGAUGUCGGCACAACCUCUUGUGCUCUUGCCUCCUGCCACAAGAAC